rnacentral:rRNA from 1 species
GCAGUGGGGAAUCUUAGACAAUGGGGGCAACCCUGAUCUAGCCAUGCCGCGUGAGUGAUGAAGGCCUUAGGGUCGUAAAGCUCUUUCGCCUGUGAUGAUAAUGACAGUAGCAGGUAAAGAAACCCCGGCUAACUCCGUGCCAGCAGCCGCGGUAAUACGGAGGGGGUUAGCGUUGUUCGGAAUUACUGGGCGUAAAGCGCGCGUAGGCGGAUUAGAAAGUUGGGGGUGAAAUCCCGGGGCUCAACCCCGGAACUGCCUCCAAAACUGCUAGUCUAGAGUUCGAGAGAGGUGAGUGGAAUUCCGAGUGUAGAGGUGAAAUUCGUAGAUAUUCGGAGGAACACCAGUGGCGAAGGCGGCUCACUGGCUCGAUACUGACGCUGAGGUGCGAAAGUGUGGGGAGCAAACAGGAUUAGAUACCCUGGUAGUCCACACCGUAAACGAUGAAUGCCAGUCGUCGGAUAGUAUACUAUUCGGUGACACACCUAACGGAUUAAGCAUUCCGCCUGGGGAGUACGGUCGCAAGAUUAAAACUCAAAGGAAUUGACGG